UGACAAGUUAUACCUGCUGUUUAUAAUCCCAGUCUACAUGGGGAUGAGAGCUGAGUGGUCAUCUACUCCAACUCCCACACUGUCUUGAUACAUAUGAUGGCUUUACUGAAAAGAAGCUGUCAAUUCACUUCCUGAGCACUUCUAGCAAUGGGGAGCUCACUACCUGCUGAGGAUACCCAUUGAUAUUUGGACAGCUCUAAUUGUCAGAAAAUUCUUCCCUGCAUGAAGCUGAAAUCCACCUGCAUCGAGCUUCCAACAUCUGCCUCUCACUCGGCUGCACCUUCCAUUCACGAUAAACUUAUCUCACCAGGUAGGGGAAUCCGCCCUCCACCUCUGACCUGCCCAAGGGGCUGAUUUCUUUGCCCACUGGGGUUUUCUGGGGGUUUCCUCAAGACCCAAAAAAACAUUCCCUGGCCCUAGAGGGUCCUCCAAAGGGGCAGCUUUCGCAGUGCCAACUCCCCUCCAAUCACCCCUUUCCCCAACUUCAGGAACAAUAUUGUUCCUAAAGUCAUAAUUAAGGGAUAUAGCCAAAAGGCCAGGAUUUUUAAAUUAUAUUAAAACUUCACUGUGAAAAACAAACAGAAAACUGCCCGAAAGAGAAAACUCCGGAGUGGUGAGGGAUGGACAGGGAUAUUAUUUUUCUCUUUGUGGCCCGCCUACCUUGGCUCCUCCCUGGGACAAGGGAAGCAGCAGCUUCCAGCCAGCCUGACGUGGAGGGGGAGCCCCUGUCCAUGUGAUUUACAACUCAUCCGCAUGGGCUAUGGUGGUUGAUGCAGAAGCAGACGUUCCAGAAAAGCCAACUCUUCAUCACACACAGAGUUUGGCAACAGAGCCCCUGUUUGAACCUCAUUCGACCGCUGGUGGCUGGAGUCACCCAGAGAGGGUGUCACCGCAAAAGAAGCUGCCUCUCCACCAUCAGAUAAUUCCGGGUGUUACACGCCUCGUGCCUCUCACAUCCCAGAAGGAAAAACUCCUUCCUGUUUCUCUCAGGGGUCCUCAGGUGAUGGGUUAUCAGCCAGCAGAAUUAGGAUGCUGAUUUGAAAAGUCAAGUGUGCUCAGGUAAUAUCUGCUUCGGUCGUGCCUCCCCACCUCCCCCAGAAGCCUUGUAGAGCCCCGGGUCUCUGGCUCCAGCCCAUCAUAACUGAGAGUGUCCUAUUUUAUGUCUAAGUUUGUAGAUUCCAUUCAUACUUUCAGUAGAGUAGUAGUGAUGUUUGUCAAUCCCUGAGGCUCCCUACAUGCCAAGCACUGGGUUAAAUGCUUUACAUGCCUCCUCUUAUUUAAUUCUCGCCUCAACCCCAUGAAGGAGGUGCUAUUACUCUCCAUAUUUUCCAGAAGAAAAACUGAGGCUUACACAGGUUAGCUGACUUGUCCAAGUUCACAGAUAACAAGUAAGGAGGAAAGCUGGGACUUGAACCCAGCCUCUAGAUCUCACACUUGGAAACACGACGCUGUAAUGUCUCCCUGAGGAACUGUGCUGAGGGAUCAGUGGAGCUGGGGAGCCCUGAGGUUGGGGCAAUCGCCCAAGAAGGGUUAGCUCCAGGGCAGAUGGAGAGUGUAGCACCCACUCCCAACUCCCACUGGGCAGGGAGGGGCUCUAACAGACCCUACUCGGUUUAUCUUUGGGUCUGCAAUUCCCAGACUUUGCUUAGGGCGGUGGCUCCGCCCUCCAGGGGAAAGCUGAAAUACAAGGUCAGUUUCUGGCAGGGAGCAUGUAUCAGGCCACUUUCACUCCUCCACAGGAGAACGCACCAUGGUUUCCAGGAACAGCUCAGCUUAGCAAAUCCCUGAGAGACAAGGCUAGGAGGGGUCUGGGGCUACAUGGAGGGGCCACUCAGCUGUGAUAACACAGUGAGGAUAACAGUGCCUGCGGGAAAUGGAGAAGUGCAGAAAGGGGUUAAGUAGGAAGGCGCAGAAACAGACUCUCUCCAUCACCCUGUUAUCCUGGGCCAGUCUGCUCUAGAAAGCCUACAUAUCCCGGGGUCAUAUUAAGUCUUCAGGAGGGUGUGCAUCAUAGAGAACAUGGAGGACAAGUUGGC